rnacentral:rRNA from 1 species
UACGUAGGGCGCAAGCGUUGUCCGGAAUCAUUGGGCGUAAAGAGCGUGUAGGCGGUCCGGUAAGUCCGCUGUGAAAGUCGGGGGCUCAACCCUCGAAUGCCGGUGGAUACUGUCGGGCUAGAGUGCGGAAGAGGCGAGUGGAAUUCCUGGUGUAGCGGUGAGAUGCGCAGAUAUCAGGAGGAACACCUAUUGCGAAGGCAGCUCGCUGGGACGUAACUGACGCUGAGACGCGAAAGCGUGGGGAGCAAACAGG